CAGCCGCCACGGGAAUACGGAGGGGGCUAGCGUUGUUCGGAAUUACUGGGCGUAAAGCGCACGUAGGCGGCUUUGUAAGUUAGAGGUGAAAGCCUGGGGCUCAACUCCAGAAUUGCCUUUAAGACUGCAUCGCUUGAACGUCGGAGAGGUGAGUGGAAUUCCGAGUGUAGAGGUGAAAUUCGUAGAUAUUCGGAAGAACACCAGUGGCGAAGGCGGCUCACUGGACGACUGUUGACGCUGAGGUGCGAAAGCGUGGGGAGCAAACAGGAUUAGAUACCCGCGUAGUCCCUGUCUCUUAUAC
rnacentral:rRNA from 1 species